rnacentral:rRNA from 1 species
AUUGAACGCUGGCGGCAUGCCUUACACAUGCAAGUCGAUCGGUAACAGGUCUUCGGAUGCUGACGAGUGGCGAACGGGUGAGUAAUACAUCGGAACGUGCCCAGACGUGGGGGAUAACGAGGCGAAAGCUUUGCUAAUACCGCAUACGAUCUAAGGAUGAAAGCAGGGGACCGCAAGGCCUUGUGCGUUUGGAGCGGCCGAUGGCAGAUUAGGUAGUUGGUGGGAUAAAAGCUUACCAAGCCGACGAUCUGUAGCUGGUCUGAGAGGACGACCAGCCACACUGGGACUGAGACACGGCCCAGACUCCUACGGGAGGCAGCAGUGGGGAAUUUUGGACAAUGGGCGAAAGCCUGAUCCAGCAAUGCCGCGUGCAGGAUGAAGGCCUUCGGGUUGUAAACUGCUUUUGUACGGAACGAAAAGGCUCUGGCUAAUACCUGGGGCACAUGACGGUACCGUAAGAAUAAGCACCGGCUAACUACGUG